rnacentral:rRNA from 1 species
CAAAAACAUGUCUUUUUGAGUUAAUUUUAAAGUCUAACCUGCCCAAUGAAUAAAAUUUUAAUGGCCGCAGUAUUUUGACUGUGCAAAGGUAGCAUAAUCAUUAGUCUUUUAAUUGAAGGCUUGAAUGAAUGGUUGGACGAAGUAUAAUCUGUUUCAUUUAAAUUUAUAAUAGAAUUUUAUAUUUUAGUAAAAAAGCUAAAAUAUUUUUAAAAGACGAGAAGACCCUAUAAAUCUUUAUAAUUUAUAUUAUUUUUAUUUUUUUGAUUUAUUUUAUUUAAAUAAUUUAAAUUAUUUUGUUGGGGUGAUGUCAAAAUUUAAUAAACUUUUGAUUUUUAAUUUCAUUAAUUUAUGUUUUAUUGAUCCAUUAAUAAUGAUUAAAAGAAUAAGUUACUUUAGGGAUAACAGCGUAAUUUUUUUGGAGAGUUCUUAUUGAUAAAAAAGUUUGCGACCUCGAUGUUGGAUUAAGAUAUAAUUUUAGGUGUAGUUGCUUAAAUAAUAAGUCUGUUCGACUUUUAAAUUCUUACAUGAUCUGAGUUAAAACCGGA